rnacentral:rRNA from 1 species
UACGGAGGGUGCAAGCGUUGUCCGGAUUUAUUGGGCGUAAAGAGCGUGUAGGCGGUUUGGUAGGUCCGUUGUGAAAACUCGAGGCUCAACCUCGAGACGCCGAUGGAAACCAUCAGACUAGAGUCCGGAAGAGGAGAGUGGAAUUCCUGGUGUAGCGGUGAAAUGCGCAGAUAUCAGGAAGAACACCCGUGGCUAAGGCGGCUCUCUAGUACGGUACUGACGCUGAGACGCGAAAGCGUGGGGAGCGAACAGG